AUGUUUCUUUACAUCCUCACAGGUGUCAGCUGUGAAGAACUCACCCCAGUCGAGAAAGAAGAGAACAGUUUAGAAGGCAGCUCUGUUUCUCUGUCCUACAGAUACUCCAAACAAGCUACUGGUAGUGAUGAGUUUUACUGGUAUCGACAAUAUCCAGGAAAACCACCAGAGUUCAUCAUAUUCAUCUCAGGAAUGAACUUUACAAAAAAAGCAGAGUCUCUGACAUCGGACACAAGGUUUUUUACGAAACUGUCAGAAGAAAAGCAUCGUGUGGAUCUUCAGAUCUCCUCUGCUGCAGUGACAGACUCUGCUCUGUACUACUGUGCUGUGAGGCCCACAGUGACAGCAAACCCACAGUCUCUGUACAAAAACACAAGCUGACACACUGACAAGCUGCUGGAAGACUUUUUUCCACACUGUUGUACUGAACUUUGUACCUCCACUAGAGGGCAACAUUAUCAAGUAG